UACGAAGGGGGCUAGCGUUGCUCGGAAUCACUGGGCGUAAAGCGCACGUAGGCGGGUCGUUAAGUCGGGGGUGAAAUCCUGGAGCUCAACUCCAGAACUGCCUUCGAUACUGGCGAUCUUUGAGUCCGGGAGAGGUGGGUGGAACUGCGAGUGUAGAGGUGAAAUUCGUAGAUAUUCGCAAGAACACCAGUGGCGAAGGCGGCUCACUGGCCCGGUACUGACGCUGAGGUGCGAAAGCGUGGGGAGCAAACAGGAUUAGAUGCCCUGGUAGUCCACGCCGUAAACGAUGGAUGCUAGCCGUUGGUGAGCUUGCUCAUCAGUGGCGCAGCUAACGCAUUAAGCAUCCCGCCUGGGGAGUACGGUCGCAAGAUUAAAACUCAAAG
rnacentral:rRNA from 1 species